GAACCGAUCUGCUCAGUGGAAACGAGGCAUAAGGUGGCUCUCCCAGAGUUAGGCUGGUUCAUUGCACUCCGUACCAGUUGACCUCUGCGUUUUCCUCAAAUGUGGGAAACUCGACUGCAUAAUUUAUGGUAGUGGUAGACUGCGUUCGCGCUUUCCCCUG